GCCAAGAUCACGCCACUGCACUCCAGCCGGGGCCACAGAGCAAGACUCUGUCUCAAAAAAAAAAAAAAAAAAAAGAGCCGGGCACGGUGACUCACACCUGUAAUCCCAGCACUUUGGGAGGCCUAGGCAGGCAGAUCACAAGGUCAAGAGAUCAAGACCAUCCUGACCAACAUGGUGAAACCCUGUCUCUACUAAAAAUACAAAAAUUAGCUGCGCAUGGUGGCGUGCGCCUGUAGUCCCAGCUACUCGGGAGGCUGAGACAGAAGAAUUGCUUGAACCCGGGAAGUGGAGGUUGCAGUGAGCAGAGAUCGUGCCACUGUACUUCAGCCUGGUGACAGAGUGAGACUCCGUCUCAAAAAUAAAUAAAUAAAUAAAUAAAUAAUAAAAAGAGAGACCUCACUCUGGUGAGGUCUUCCAGCCUAGGCUGGAGUGCAGUGGUGCAAUCAUAGCUCACUAAAGCCUCAAAUUCCUGUGCUCAAGUCAUCCUCCUACCAUCUGUCUCUUUUGAAUUCAGUACAUCCACUAGGUAAAGCAAUGAUGCCACAGAACCCAUGCAGCAGCCUCAAGGUAGGGCCCACUGGGGUCCUGGAUUUCAGUUUCUCCUCUGUAAAGUGAGUAUGUUGUGCCCGGAGAGGAGACCCCCAGCUCCAGCUGGCUCAACCACAUCCACCAUGCUGUGUGACUCCAGAUGCAUCACAGGCUGUCUCUGGCCCAGCCCCAGACAGCGGGAGAAGAAAGCUCAGGAGUCCGUGGAAACUGCAGGGUGGGAUGCUUUAUUUCACUG
rnacentral:lncRNA from 10 species